GACCCCUCAGUCUCCUCUUCUCCAGGCUCCAGAGCCCCAGCUCCCUCAGCCUUUCCUCACACGGGAGAUGCUCCACUCCCUUCAGCAUCUUUGUUGCCCUACGCUGGACUCUCUCCAGCAGUUCCCGGUCUUUCUUGAACUGAGGGGCCCAGAAAUGGACACAAUAUUCUGCUUUUCCUCAGCUUUUGUAUAGCAUUUGUGCUAUCUCAGCACCUUGCACAUCUGAAAGCUGACAGCUCUGCAGAGAUCUCUCCUUGCUGCUGUUACGGAUGUCUCAGCACACCGUUCUCUGGCAUGUGAGAUGGCUCUGGGCAUCCAUGGGGUGUGGGUCACCACACCAGAACCCAGCUACAGAGGGCACCGUGGGGUGUUUCAUCCCACUGAGAUGAAUUGAUAAGGCCACAGACACUUGCAGGUGUGAAGUCUCCCUCAUUUUGAGGUCCCACUGGUGAACUUCAUCUACUUGCAUGAAUUAAUCAUGCAUCUUCCAUGACUCCUGAAUAACAGGAAUCCUCUUCUUCAAAUUCCAAAAAAGACAGUAAGACAGGUCAUGCGUGUUGGCCUCUCCACUGAAGUCUUCUUGAUAAAGCUUUGAUUAUCACCCAUGGCAAUCUCCCCAUCAAGUCCUUCUGGGGAAGAGUGUUUCGGCUGCCAAUUGUUCAAAGAGUGCUUGUAGCAUCAUUAGUUAAAACCCACAGGGAAAAGUGAAAAUAACAUGCCUGCAAUUUAACUUUAUGUAGCUGGGAACCGACACAGAUGUGGACGUGGUGCCGUUAAGAAGCCGUGCGGAGCUGCCGGCACCUGGUACAGGGUUAUCGGCCCAUUGUGGCCUGGUCUCAGCACCGGCCAACAAAGCCAAUGGGAGGGGGAAUUCGCUUGUCAUCCAUUGGGUUAUACCUGAUUUAUGGUCCCGCUCAUUGACUUCAGAAGUCUCGCAGUGGCAAGCUGCAUUGUCUUAACUUCGCAUUUGUAGAUUAUCCACACCACAGAGUUAUAAAUCCUUCUGAGCACCGCCUGCUUCUAAGGCCUAAUUAUAUUGUCAGCGAUAGGGUCUGGAGCGGGAGUGUAUGUGCUACAAUGCUCUGCCGGCCGUGAGUUCAGGAGACAUUCAUAGAGGCAUUUUAUCAGUCAAUUUCAUGAGACAUUAAUUAAUGAGAUACUUCAAUUAGAUCAUUUCUGUCACUAGGAAGGAGUUAUUCUUCAUGGUCAAGAUUACAUCAUCUUAAUUAGUCCCUCUCCAAGUAAUUUGCUUCUUUUCAAGCCCCGAAGAAGGGUACAUUCAUUAUAGAUAAUUAAUAUUCAAGUUAAUUGACUGUACCCUACAAUUCAUGGAGCCCCUUUGAAACAGAUUUUCUAGUUAGGCAUCGGAAAGGGCUGUUAAAGUUGCACUGCACAGUCCUGCAGAAGGCUUCUCAAUCAUCCAGGGGACCAAAUUAUUAUUAUCAACCCCAGGCCUGCCUUAGCCACUCCAGUUAAUACUCACAAUAGAGUGCCCAUUCUGAGCAACUACUGUGUAGAUACAAAAGUUGAGAUCAGAAGGUUAGGCUAAAUCUCUUCUAUUUAUGUACACACUAUGCAGGGAAUCUAUUUUUUGUUAGCACACACAUUCUUCACAGCAAAAUUACUUUGAUUUCACUAUUUCAGUUUUAAAAGGGAAAUUUUACAGCAAGCCAAUCAGGAAUAACAGACACUUGAAGCUCAGGUGCUCUGUUUGUUUAUUCUCUCCAAAGAAAGGUCAUGCAAUAUUAAUGUUUUGUCUUUUAAUGUUGCAAAUAAUCCACAGAAAACACCAUAUCCCACUAAGAGUAGUACAUUUAAUGUAAAAGCUCUGUGUUGUAUACAAAUGCUGUGGUAUAUAUUUUCUUUCCUAGUAUUUGUACUUAAGUUUUUACGUUUGACUUAAGUCAAAACUUGAUUUUUCUCUGUCCUAUUUCAGACUACAGGAGUGAUCUCAUAUUUGAAAAUGCUGCCAAUCUAAGGUCUCAGAAGCUGGAAACUCCAAUGCAAGGCUGAGAGGUCCAUGGGCUUUGGAGAACCAAGCAGACACUGACUUUGGACAGUCUGGAUCCAAGGUCCUGCAGUUCUGCCAAGAUGAACUGGAAAUUUGAGAGCUGUUUGGGAUGGGAACAGCUUCCUGACAUGACGGUUUGCCAGACAUAGGGCAAGAGGCAGAAAUCAGAAUUUUUUUAAGUGACUGAUCAGUUCUGACAACAUGGGGCAAGUUAAUAACAGAUUUUGCUGCAACUUGCCAUCAGACAACCGUACUUCUGCAUGUCUUCAUGGUACAGUACAGUGCACUCUUGCAUAGCAGUGUGGUGGGUUUUGCCCAGCUAAGCAUUUCUUUGUUAAUAAUCUCCAGCUUUUCACAAGAAAACUUCUUUUAAUUAGGGUUGUCUUAUCUAUUUGGACUAUUGCCCAUCGUUCUAGCGUCUGGUGUUUGCUUUGUAGGUACAGACCAUUGCUGGCACUCGCAGAAAGAAGUUUUUUUCCUGGUCUCUGAUGAGGCUUAGAGAAGAGCAAUCGCAGCCCAAAUCUGCAGUCAGAGAAACAUGAGUCAUUUCCAUAUGGUGCUUUGAGUCUGAUGGGCUGCAAGAAGAGGGAAAAAGGGAAAUGCUCCCUGAGCGUGGCCAUGGGAGCUGAGGUCACAACCUGGUGGGACGUUUUCAAGGAGCACUGAAAAUACCUGUCAUCUGCAUUGUGGAGAAAUUAUUUUCAAGCUUUUUUUCCCCUCCUUUUUUCUCUUUUUGCCUCUUCUGUCUUUCAUCCUCUCCUUUUCAUUUUCAAUUUCAGCCACUUAUCUUCAGAUAUUUUUGAAAUGGCUGGGGAAAAAAGGAGGCAAAAAUGAAGCUGACAUAAGGGAAAUUGAAGUGUGGGGAAAAAACACAGCAGCUUACUCUAGACCUUGUUUAAUGAAAAAUAAUUAGAAAAUUUCAAAACACUCUGCAAACUGCGAUCCCAUUUUCUCUUUAUUCAUGAUGGACAAAAACUUGAAGCUUCGGUUUCCCAUGAUAAAAGCAAGCAAUAUUUUUUUUAAUCACUUUUUUUCCCCCCAUUAAUGCCUUGGAGAGCAUUUACAUCUGAAGUAGACACAAUAUUCAGAGCUAUGCAUUCUUUAGAACUCUUUUCAUCCUGCUUCCCCAGCAUGGUUGACAUUUACCUCCAUGACCUCCGUCCUCUCUUGGUGGGCACAGUGCUAAAGCCAUUUGCUGAAGCUACUAAUGAAGUGGUGCUGACUCAUGGAAGGAGACAACUUGUGUUCAUAUCCUGUUCUCCAUCACAAGGAACUGCUGGUGGGACUGGUCAUGCCAGGUCUUUUUGGUUUGGAAAGCAGACAACAGUGAGGGAAUAAAUUUGAAGGCGCCAAAAUAAAGAAUGGAAAGUAGAAAGCAAAGAGUGAAGAAUUAGUCACAUUUUCUCAAAAUGCAAGACCUACCUUGAGCCAAUGAAAUUAUCAGGUGACAUACCUGAAACAACCAAAAGACAGUAUUUUCCACCUAAUAAGCUAUGAAACUUGUUGCCACUGGAUGCUGCAGAGAACAAAUGUUUAAGUAUACUUAAAAAUACCUGAACAGUUAUGAAGAAUAGCAUUACCGGUACCCAUUGAACAUGAUGGAUCAUGCCCAAGUUUCAGCUCAGAAAGCCCUGAGCUACCAACUGACAAGCUGGAGGGGUAAACCAGAUUACAAUAUGUUUAUUCCAGACUUUCUAUUCCUCUUUCCACCUCUACUUUCAGUGAUAGGAUGGACCUUUCAUGUGUUGGAGUUUAUUGGGUUUUCUGUACAAACAUGCCAUUCCCCAGCCAAGUUACACUUGGAUUCUCUUAAUUAAAAAUUGAGGAUGAAUUAGCUGAAUCAGUAGGUAACUCUAAACCAUUGAGUAAAUACAAAUAUUUACCUCCCAGAUAUCCACCUGAAGCUCUGUCAAUGCACCAAGUGCUGUGGCAGGAAAAGCAGUUUUAUUCUUGACUUUUUUAAGCUCUUGGGUAAAACAUUUUUUCUCCAAUUAUUUUCUUUUCUCACCUGUGUUGGUUCUGGACUGUUUAGAGCAGAAUUUCUUCAAAAACCUACAUGUCUUCCACUGUUAGUACAAAGCCUAGUACCAUGGAUCUUUCACCUUCUUGAGGUCUCUAGGUUCUUCUUUAAUACAAGCAAAUGAUUAUAAUUUCUAUAAACUACAGCAUCUUCAAUUAGGUCUUGAUAAAUUUCUUCUGGUAAAUCAGAGCUUGUAAUAAAAUCAGUCUUUGGUCUUACUGAGUGAAGAGCAAAGUUCUCUUUUUUAUGCUAUUUCCCUGCUUUCUCCUUUGAAUAAAGUGGAAAACAUGU